rnacentral:rRNA from 1 species
UACGUAGGGGGCAAGCGUUGUCCGGAAUUAUUUGGGCGUAAAGCGCGCGCAGGCGGUUAAUUAAGUUUGGGGUGUUUUAAGCCCGGGGCUCAACCCCGGUUCGCAUCCAAAACUGGUUGACUUGAGUGUAGGAGAGGGAAGUGGAAUUCCACGUGUAGCGGUGAAAUGCGUAGAGAUGUGGAGGAACACUAGUGGCGAAGGCGACUUUUCUGGCCUAUAACUGACGCUGAGGCGCGAAAGCGUGGGGAGCAAACAGG